AUCUUAGAAUGUGAGUUUGGAUCU
rnacentral:miRNA from 1 species